UACGGGGGGAGCAAGCGUUGUUCGGAUUUACUGGGCGUAAAGGGCGCGUAGGCGGUCAGCACAAGUCAGUUGUGAAAUCUCCGGGCUUAACUCGGAAAGGUCAACUGAUACUGUGCGACUAGAGUGCGGAAGGGGCAACUGGAAUUCUCGGUGUAGCGGUGGAAUGCGUAGAGAUCGGGAAGAACACCCAGUGGCGAAGGCGGAGUCUC
rnacentral:rRNA from 1 species